rnacentral:tRNA from 1 species
UAAAUAUCUAAGUUUAAGUUUAUCAUUUACAAUGAUAGGAUGUUUUUAUUAACUUUAUUUAAAUAUUAUUAAUUAAUAGUAAUUUUUUUAUUUAG